GUGCAGGAUUUUUCUCACCAGAUCACAGCUCUUUUUCUGUCUCUGUCCCCAUGACACGUGCUCCUGCGACCUAGUCCGAGUACUGGUCCUCGCCUAGGGUGGCUAAAACUCCGAGGAAACUGGUAAAGAGUGUAAAAGCGAAUGAACAGGACAAGCACAGACUGACCGAGGUACGAAUAUUUGUUCAACGGUAAACAGUGAUAGGUAGCAUACUGGGCGGGCCCAAACCCAACUCUCAGGCCUUUUUUAUU
rnacentral:lncRNA from 1 species